UAUUGGUCAAUGGGCGAUGGCCUGAACCAGCCAAGUAGCGUGAAGGAUGACUGCCCUAUGGGUUGUAAACUUCUUUUGUAAAGGAAUAAAGUCGGGUAUGCAUACCCGUUUGCAUGUCCAUUAUGAAUAAGGAUCGGCCAACUCAGUGCCAGCAGCCGCGGUAAUACGGAGGAUCCGAGCGUUAUCCGGAUUUAUUGGGUUUAAAGGGAGCGUAGAUGGAUGUUUAAGGCAGUUGUGAAAGUUUGCGGCUCAACCGUAAAAUUGCAGUUGAUACUGGAUGUCUUGAGUGCAGUUGAGGCAGGCGGAAUUCGUGGUGUAGCGGUGAAAUGCUUAGAUAUCACGAAGAACUCCGUUUGCGAAGGCAGCCUGCUAAGCUGCAACUGACAUUGAGGCUCGAAAGUGUGGGUAUCAAACAGG
rnacentral:rRNA from 1 species